rnacentral:lncRNA from 1 species
AUGGCUGCCCUCAGACCCCUCAUGAAGCCCAAGAUUUUCAAAAAGAGGAACAAGACAUUCAUCCGGCAGCAGUCAGACUGAUAUGUCAAAAUUAAGUGUAACUGGCAGACACCUAGAGGUAUUGACAACAGGAUUCAGAGAAGGUUCAAGAGCCAGCUCUUGAUGUCCAACAUUGGUUAUGGGAGCAACAAAAAGACAAAGCACAUGCUGCCCAGUAGCUUACAGAAGUUCCUGGUCCACAACGUCAAGGAGCUGGAAGUGCUGCUGAGGUGCAACAAAUCUUACUGUGCUGAGAUCGCUUACAAUGUUUCCUCCAAGAACCACAAAGCAAUUGUGGAAAGAGCAGCCCAGCUGGCCAUCAGACUCACCAGUCACAAAGCAAGGCUAUGCAGCAAAGAAAAUG